rnacentral:rRNA from 1 species
ACGAAGGGUGCUAGCGUUGUUCGGAAUGACUGGGCGUAAAGGGUGCGUAGGCGGCCAGAAGCGUCUGAUGUGAAAUCCCUGGGCUUAACCUAGGAACUGCAUUGGAUACGGUCUGGCUAGAGUCCGCGAGAGGAAGAUGGAAUUGUGCGUGUAGAGGUGAAAUUCGUAGAUAUGCACAAGAACACCGGUGGCGAAGGCGAUCUUCUGGAGCGGUACUGACGCUAAGGCACGAAAGUGUGGGGAGCAAACAGGAUUAGAUACCCUGGUAGUCCACACUGUAAACGAUGAAUGUUAGAUGUCGGGGAGGUUACUCUUCGGUAUCGCAGCUAACGCAUUAAACAUUCCGCCUGGGGAGUACGGUCGCAAGAUUA